rnacentral:lncRNA from 1 species
CCCGAUCUAUCUCUCAGCCGAAUGGAACUUCAAGUAAUACAGAUCCACAAGCUCCAUCACCAGAUCUCCUUAGCGACCUUCUUGGUCCUCUUGCUAUAGAGGCUCCACCUGGAGUUGUGUCAACUGAACAGCACGGUCCCACUGGAACAGAAGGAGUUCCAGAUGAAGUGGAUGGUUCCGCCAUUGUACCUGUUGGAGAGCAAACAAACAAUGUGGAGGUAUUGUUUCAUUCUUCCUUUGCUUUUUUUUUUUUUUGAACAACCCUUUGCUUUCUUUGGAAUGGUAGUUUUGAACAUGGAUUAAAUUAUACUUCUAAUAUUUUUAGCUCAUUGAUUCCCUAGGUUUUUAACUAUUGGCUAUUUUUCUCUGUUUUCUCUUUUUGAAUUUAUUAUUUGGAAAAGGUAAAACGUUUACCUUGAAUGGAAAUCCUACCUGAGAUGUUCUGUUCAUACCCUCUGCAGAGUUUCUUGAUUUUGUUCGACGUAAUAAUGCUACAGCCGCGAAACCUGAUGAACUUGUUGCAUUGACAUUGUAUACAGUAUAUAUUAACUAUUAUUUGCAUGCUUGGAUUGUUUUCUUAUUCAGUUUUGUUUUCUGUAACAGGUCAUAGGAAAUAUUGCUGAGAGAUUUCAUGCUUUAUGUUUGAAAGACAGUGGUGUCUUAUACGAGGAUCCUUAUAUCCAGGUUUGAUUUUUACGCGAAUAAUGGUUGCAGAGAAUGAGCUUUUCUAUUUCUUAUGUUCCUCAUUUUGUUGAGUGUUGGUAUCACUCAGAUCGGCAUCAAAGCUGAAUGGAGAGGACACCAUGGGAGACUUGUCCUCUUCUUGGGAAACAAGAGCACUAAUCCACUUACAUCAGUCCAAGCUCUAAUACUACCCCCUGCCCAUUUAAAAUUGGAACUGUCUCCAGUACCUGAUACAAUUCCUCCUCGAGCACAGGUACUUCAUUCUGUUGAUUUUGUCAAUUUUACUACUCAAUCACACACUCUCCUCUUUUCUGUAACCUUAUGUUUACUUAGUGUUCCAAUUUCUGUCGUGGUUAUAGGUACAAUCUCCACUUGAAGUGAUGAACAUCCGCCCUAGCAGAGAUGUAGCGGUUUUGGAUUUCUCGUACAAGCUUGGUACAAUCGUGGUACUUACCGCAACCCUCCGUUACUUGUUUUGGUGAAUGGUUUCUUUAGUAUCUGCGACUCUCUACCUGACAAGCUGGAUCUUUUAUAGGUUGGUGCCAAACUCCGGAUCCCAGCAGUCUUGAAUAAGUUUCUUCAACCUCUACAAUUGACAUCUGAAGAGUUCUUCCCGCAAUGGAGAGCACUUUCAGGACCACCCUUGAAACUUCAGGAAGUUGUAUGUAUUUCGGCUUCUCUGACAAAAUAUCGAAUAAAAGUAUAUGAGUAGUGUAUAGCGUUGGAUAUCCACAUGGCUUCUGUUCAUGUUACUCAAAGUUGUUAAAGAUAACUUCUGGGAUUACAAUCCCAAGCUUUGUUCUAUUUCUGUUACGGUAUCUUGGAUUCUUAUAUAUAUGUGGUCAGCACAGGUUAAGGCGAUGAGGGCUCUUCAGUAUUUUCCAACCAUUGAAGAUCCCAGUACCAGAAAAUCUCUUUUCGAGGUUCAAUAUUUCUCAAGUAAAUCUGUAUCAUAUGUUUUUAUAUCGUAUCUGAUGCCAUUUCAUGAAAAUUUCAGGUCCUUCAGCGGAUAUUAAUGGGGACAGAUGUUGUAAAAAAUGUGAAUAAGAACAAUGCAUCUCACGCUGUGCUGUUUGAAGCUCUAUCCCUGGUAAGUUCGUUCAGAUAGCUGGGGAACAAGUUGAUGCCAAAAACAUAUCUGAUCCAUCCCUUCCCAUUCUUUUUCCUCCUCAACUUCACAUAAGACACUGUUAUAUCAAAACAUAAUAAGAAAAUACAUGUGAAGGUUUUAAAAUAAAAUUUUCGGUUUUGGUGGAGAAAAUGAGUUUGAGUCGCUUGCAGUUACUUGCAUGCUGUUCUUUGUAUGUUCCCUACUGUUCUUGUUCUUGUUGAAAAGUAAAUAAUAUUCUAUUUUCUGCUUGAGUUAUUUCUAAGAGCUUUAUCAUGGAUAGUUGACUUGUAUGUGCUCAACAAUUAUCUGGAUUGGUGAGCAAUUUCCUAACUUGAUGAUGUGUUUUGAUAUAGGUCAUCCAUCUUGAUGCUGAGAAGGAAAUGAUGUCACAGUGUGUUGCUCUUCUUGGAAAGUUUAUUUCUGUCCGUGAGCCCAACAUCAGAUAUCUAGGCUUGGUGAGAUCUCGAAUACACACGUCGUGUUUCUAAGCCUAGCUAGAACAUUAAAUUUGUUUACUGUUGGUGGUGCAUAAUGCUAUUCGCUAUUGUUUCACUCAUUUACGGGCCUGUCAUGAUGCAUUUCUUGACAACAUUUCAGGAGAACAUGACACGAAUGCUAAUGGUCACCGAUGUCCAAGAUGUCAUAAAGAAGCAUCAGUCUCAGAUAAUCACCUCCUUAAAAGACCCCGACAUCAGGUUGGAUUUUUACCAUCUCAGUAUCAACUUCAAUGGCUUGUGAACCAGAAUCUUUAUCUUUUGAUGCUUUAAUUCAAAACUGAGUAUAGCUGAUGUCAAUCAUGAAAUUGGUCAUAGUUCUGAAUUUGAAAUUACGGAAUUUGGAUAGCAUAUAUCAAACUCUAAAUUUAAAUCCGAAUCUCUGCAAUGUAGUUUUGGUGAAACAUGUUUUCUUGAUUUGUUUUAUUCUAAGAAACAAUUUUUGUAUAUGCACCUGUGGUGGCAAUUCUUGGCUGGUGGGUCAGUAGUAUUUUGACGUUUUUCAUAUAUAGAUAACUGGAUUGGAUAAGUAGCAAAGUCCAUGUAGGUCUAAUCCCUUUUCCUUCGCAAAUGGAAGCUGCCGUUUCCAGAAAUUCUAGUUUGUUUUAUAUCUUUUGCUAAUGGCAUCAGAUUCACUUAGUGCUUGAACUUCUUGCAGUAUUCGUAGACGUGCUCUUGAUUUGCUCUAUGGGAUGUGCGAUGUGUCAAAUGCAAAGGAUAUAGUCGAAGAGUUGUUGCAGGUAAGUCUUGUUGGCCUUGGUGCAUAUUAAUAUAUUUUCUUGGUUUGUAGACCUUUUAAUUUUGUGAUGUUCAACAGAAUAAUGAUUUAGCUGUGCAGUGUUUAUGCUUAUAUUGAACUGAAAAAUACAUUGCAGUAUCUUAGCACAGCAGAGUUUUCCAUGCGUGAGGAAUUAUCACUUAAAGCUGCCAUUCUUGCUGAAAAGUUUGCUCCUGAUCUAUCAUGGUAAGCGUAACUUCUACCACCAAAAAAAAAAAAGAUCUUCACUUUUUCAAUGCAUACAAUUAUAAUUACGAUGACAUCAUUAGCCAAUUGGUCAACCUUUCAUUACACUAAAUGUUAACUUUGAUAUUUCUUAGGUAUGUAGAUGUGAUCCUUCAAUUGAUCGAUAAGGCUGGGGAUUUUGUUAGCGAUGACAUUUGGUUUCGUGUGGUUCAGUUUGUAACAAAUAAUGAAGACCUUCAGGUAUUUAAAAUUCGAAAGAAUUAAUAUGUCGUAUAUUAUCCUAUUCAGGACACUCGGAAGUUGCUGACAGUUUUCUUUAAUAUGACAGCCUUACGCCGCAUCAAAAGCAAGAGAAUAUUUGGACAAGAUUGCAAUACAUGAGACAAUGGUGAAGGUUGUACAUCCUCACUUCUUGUAUAAGAAAUUUUCAAUAUUGCAUUGCGCAGAUAAGUUAUACCCCUAAAUACCUACUUACUACUUUUCUGACACAAUCUCUUCUGUAUCGAAAUUGUGGUCAUGAUACAACGUUAAAAGUGUCUUAUAUACAUAAAAAUAUUGGUUACCACAAUAUAAUAUCUCUCUCUCUAAAUGUCAGGUCAGUGCUUAUAUACUGGGGGAGUAUGGCCACCUUCUAGCUAGACAACCUGGAUGCAGUGCAAGCGAACUCUUUAGCAUCUUACAUGAGAAGCUUCCCACAGUAUCGUAAGGACAACACAAAUUCUGCAUUGUGCUCUUCUUGUCUUCGGGUAUGCCUUAAAUGUUUUUUCUUUCUUUCUCAGGACUCCCACCAUUCCUAUUCUUCUUUCCACUUAUGCAAAGCUUCUUAUGCACACUCAACCCCGGGAUCCAGAACUGGAAAAGAAAGUUUGGGCUGUAUUCAAGAAGUAAGACUUGCUAACCUUGUCAUUCUCAAUGUUUUGCUUGUCAUUUAUGCCCUCUUCUUUUAUGUAAUCAAAUCAAGUUUCCUAAAUGAUUUUGUGUUUUGGCAGGUACGAGAGUUGUAUUGAUGUGGAGAUACAACAAAGGGCAGUGGAAUACUUUGAAUUGAGUAAAAAGGGUGCUGCCUUUAUGGAUGUAUUGGCUGAGAUGCCGAAAUUUCCGGAACGUCAGGUUUGUAAAUUAUUUUAUGAUUCCAUUAGAGUUACUUUGAUGGGACGUUUGGAUACUGGAUGAUUUGAUGGUGAUUUUGUCUGUUCCAUAGUCGUCAUUGAUUAAAAAGGCAGAAGUUGUUGAAGAUACCGCAGACCAGAGUGCCAUCAAGCUUAGAGCACAGCAACAGCCUUCAAAUGCUUUGGUUUUGGCUGACCCACAGCCUGUUAGUGGGGCACCCCCACCUUUGAAUAUUCCAAGUGUAAGUGGAAGCACGCUGAGUACUUCUAUUUGUCGGCCCUAAUUACCGAUACGUUUUUCAUUUUCCUUAGCUUGAUAACGUAUCCCUGACAUUUAUCUUAUACCGAUACACAUACUUUUUUAUCUUAUUAUCCCUGACAUUUUGUUUCUCCUUGCGUGUCUAGCAGGAACCCCAGUCAGUAGCCCGAUCUAUCUCUCAGCCGAAUGGAACUUCAAGUAAUACAGAUCCACAAGCUCCAUCACCAGAUCUCCUUAGCGACCUUCUUGGUCCUCUUGCUAUAGAGGCUCCACCUGGAGUUGUGUCAACUGAACAGCACGGUCCCACUGGAACAGAAGGAGUUCCAGAUGAAGUGGAUGGUUCCGCCAUUGUACCUGUUGGAGAGCAAACAAACAAUGUGGAGG